GCCGUAGAGGCCUUGGCGGUGAGGCGACAGGCUUCCAACCUGUACAACCGGGUUCGACUCCCGGCUACGGCU
rnacentral:tRNA from 1 species